rnacentral:lncRNA from 1 species
AAAUUUAAUAUGAUUUGAACAAAGUUUGAAGAGUUAGCUUUAUAAUUGUUAAUAGAGUUCAUAUUUCAUUGAUUAUCCUACUGUAAUGUCCAGACGUGAAAUCUAACACCAUUCUAAUCAUAAAAAGAAAUAAUUAUCCGGUCACCCAUUUUCAAAACGUAUGGAAGUUCAAGGAUUAUAUUAUCAUACAGUGAGCUCAUCAGUUCUCACAUACUAUACUGACUUGUUGCCUUUUAUGUUUUAAACUUUGAAUGUUUAUUAUCAUAAUCUAUAUCUCGUUUACAACUCAUCAUUGAAGUCCAGUCAUAAAGGUAAGUUCAAACAAUUAACUAUAUUACACAAUUAAAGAGGGGCGAAAUAUACUAGAGGGACUCAAACUCGUAUCGAAAAGUUUGAUCGAUUGUUGUUGGUUGCUUAACGUUCAGUGGCAAAUAUUUCAUACAUGUUCAGGACGAGAACAAGUUCACAAAAAAAAAAUACAUUAAUUAGGUAUGGUAAUAAUAGAGGCUAUCGAAAAGACACAGACAACUCGGUUGCUAAAAAAAAAG